rnacentral:rRNA from 1 species
GACGAACGCUGGCGGCGUGCUUAACACAUGCAAGUCGAGCGGUGAAGGGGAGCUUGCUCCCCGGAUCAGUGGCGAACGGGUGAGUAACACGUGGGCAACCUGCCCCAGACUUCGGGAUAACGCUUCGAAAGAGGUGCUAAUACCGGAUACGAACUCCUUGGGCAUCCUGGGAGUUGGAAAGCUUUUCGGUCUGGGAUGGGCCCGCGGCCUAUCAGCUUGUUGGUGAGGUAACGGCUCACCAAGGCGACGACGGGUAGCCGGCCUGAGAGGGCGACCGGCCACACUGGGACUGAGACACGGCCCAGACUCCUACGGGAGGCAGCAGUGGGGAAUAUUGCGCAAUGGGCGAAAGCCUGACGCAGCAACGCCGCGUGAGGGAUGACGGCCUUCGGGUUGUAAACCUCUUUCAGCAGGGAAGAAGCGAAAGUGACGGUACCUGCAGAAGAAGCACCGGCUAACUACGUGCCAGCCGCCGCCGUAAGAC